rnacentral:rRNA from 1 species
ACUGUACUAAACUAACCAAAGUGGGGGAUAGUGAGAGGGAUAAAUUUUCUUAAGGAACUCGGCCAAAUCCUAAUGCCCAUCAGGGUAUAUAUCAGAACAUGGGCCUCGACUGUUUACCAAAAACAUAGCUCUCAGCCAAUAUGAAAGUAGAAGUAUGGAGGGUGAGGCCUGCCCAAUGGUUGUAUCUAAAAACGGUUGAUAAAAGUCGACUUCAUAAGGACAAUUGAAUGGCCGCGGUAACACUGACCGUGAUAAUGUAGCGUAAUCAAUAGCCAAUUAAUUGUUGGCCAGUAUGAAUGGCGUCACGAAGGCCCCACUGUCUUAAGAGAAUUCCCAGUGAAAUUGAAUUCGUAGUGAAGAUGCUACGUCCAAUUUGUCAGACGAAAAGACCCCAUUGAGCUUUACUGGAGACUUACAUUGCUCGGAUCAACUCUCGCCCCCCCCUUGGCGGGGGGUCGAAUUUAAAUGGAUAGCUUAGAUUAUGUGGUGUUAUAACCGUCGAUCAAGUAGUCCCUACGGGAUUGCCCCCGAAGGUUGACCUGUUUGGGUGAAUGAAACCCCACUCUUUUUUGUUAAAUGAGCUAACCCCUUAAAGGGGGACAAUGUAAGUUGGACAGUUUGGUUGGGGCGACCGCCUUUUAAAGAGUAACGAAGGUGUGCUUAAGGUACACAAUCAAUAACACAAGCCUGACUGCGAGGGGGACCCUCCGAGCAGACACCUAAAGUCUUCUCCCUUCCCCCCGAAGGUUAAAGACGAAUGGUGGGUUAUAGUGACCCGUUAAUUUAGAGUGGAAUAGUUAACGAUCAACGAAUAAAAGUUACCAUGGGGAUAACAGCGUAAUAUCGUUAGAGAGUUUACAUCGACGACGAUGUUGCGACCUCGAUG